GGUUUUGUAGUGUAGCGGUUAUCACUCCGGAUUCUGAUCGUCUCAGUAGUCUUCCGGCAACCCCGGUUCGAUUCCGGGCAAGACCU